CACGGGGGUUGCGAGCGUUGUCCGGAAUUACUAGGCGUAAAGGGCAGGCAGGCGGAUCCAUAAGUUUAUCGUUUAAGGCGUCGGCUUAACCGGCGUAGGGCGGUAGAUACUGUGGAUCUGGAAUGCGGUUGGGGAAGACAGAAUUCCUGGUGUAGCGGUGGAAUGCGCAGAGAUCAGGAGGAAUACCGAAGGCGAAGGCAGUCUUCCAAGCCGUUAUUGACGCUCAACUGCGAAGGUGUGGGUAUCAAACGGGAUUAGAUACCCGGGUAGUCCCUGAGCGGG
rnacentral:rRNA from 1 species